GAGUCAGUCGUCUAAAGGUAAGACAAUUGCCUUUUAAGCAAUAUAUAUUGGUUCGAUUCCAAUCUAACUCA
rnacentral:tRNA from 2 species